rnacentral:rRNA from 1 species
GACGAACGCUGGCGGUGUGCUUCACACAUGCAAGCGAACGAGGUAGCAAUACCUAGUGGCGGACGGGUGAGUAACGCGUGGGAAUCUGCCCUGGGGUGGGGAUAACUAGCCGAAAGGUUAGCUAAUACCGCAUAUGCCGUGAGGUAAAAGGAGUAAUCCGCCCGAGGAUGAGCCUGCGUCCGAUUAGCUAGUUGGUAGGGUAAAAGCCUACCAAGGCUACGAUCGGUAGCUGGUCUGAGAGGAUGAUCAGCCACAAUGGGACUGAGACACGGCCCAUACUCCUACGGGAGGCAGCAGUGGGGAAUUUUACGCAAUGGGGGAAACCCUGACGUAGCGACACCGCGUGAGCGAAG